UACGGAGGGUGCAAGCGUUAUCCGGAAUCAUUGGGUUUAAAGGGUCCGCAGGCGGACAUAUAAGUCAGUGGUGAAAGCCCAUCGCUUAACGAUGGAACUGCCAUUGAUACUGUAUGUCUUGAAUUCGGUCGAAGUGGGCGGAAUAUGUCAUGUAGCGGUGAAAUGCUUAGAUAUGACAUAGAACACCGAUAGCGAAGGCAGCUCACUAGGCCUGGAUUGACGCUCAGGGACGAAAGCGUGGGGAGCAAAC
rnacentral:rRNA from 1 species